rnacentral:tRNA from 1 species
GGUGGUACAGCUUAGUGGAAGAGCGUAUGAUUAGCAAGCAAAAGGUCCUAGGUUCAAUCCCAAGUACCUCCA